UGGGUCAAAGCCAAGCUGGUGUUCCAUCAUUGCUUCCUCUUAACAUUGGUGGUCGUGAAUAUUCAGCCCAAUAUACAGGUUCCUCCUCGACAUCUUAUCUGUCUGGUCACAAUAUGGAAACUGCAGUGGCUAAANNNNNNNNNNACUAGCCUAUCUGGGUUUUCUGGGAGAUCUGAAAUGUUAUGUUGCAAGUCAGAUCUCC
rnacentral:misc_RNA from 1 species